CCACAUCUACUUUCUUCACUGCUUCCACCAGACUCUUAUGAUCUGCAAAGGAGCCCUCCACAAGGGUAGCCCCUUUGGCCUUGAAGGACAGUAGCAUCUGCAGUUUCUCGAUGUCCAUACCGAUCUCCGGGCGUUGAAGGACAAAGGUGGGAUGGCCUUGGGCUAAGCUUGCCUCCACCAUCCUCCUUCCAAUGUAGCCUGUGCCACCCACCACAAGAACCUUGCUCUUUUCCAUCUUCCCUUCUCUACCCUUAUUUUGGCCUCUACACUCACAACCAAGGGCGGCUUGUAUAUAUAGAGAGGAUGUGAUAUUAGUCCUACAAACAAAUCUUCUAAUGAGAUUCCUUUAAUAAUAUUGCUUCCUAAUAAAGGAUAUAUCCUCCUAAGUUUGAGGAAUCUGUAAUAAUAAGAAAAUAUAAAAGAGUUACUAAGUCAAAAAGAAUUUGAUAUUUCCAUAAGAAAAUCUCACCCCUUCGACAAUCUCUCCACAUCCAAACGUUUUUUCAAUUUUUUUUUCAUUGAAAAAGAAAAGAAAAGGAUUCAGCGCCAAAUCAGGCUGCUACUGCUUGCCAGGCUGGCGGAAGCACCUAGCAGCAUGGCAGUGGCGCAGGCAAGCGCUGUCAUCGGUCAUGGUGGUGUCAGCAGCUUGAUUUAUUUUUCUUCUUUUUUUUAAUUUCAAAGUGAAAAAAAGAAGACAAUUUGAGGAAGAAAGAUGAAGAGGAAGUGAAGUAAAAGGGAAGGGAAGGAAAAAAUAAGGUAUUUUUAGAUAUAUAAAAUUUAUUAAAAUAAAGAUAGGUGGGAUGUGUCAAUAAAUUUGACUAAAAUAAUAAAACCCAAUGAUAUCUAAAUAUAAAAAAUAUCAAAUCUUUCUACCAAGAAAUUAGACUUCUAUAAGGUAAAAAGAAGAGAGCCAAAUAUUUUAAUAUGACAAAGAACUACUUUCAUAGCAAUGAAAAAAGAAAACUUACUUAUUCGAUUUACUUUUCAAAAAAUAUAUAAAAUAUAAAAAUUUUAAUAGUCAAUUAAUUCUUAAUGUAAUUUUUUUUAUAUCAAGUUUUGAAUAUCUUAUUCAAAAAUUAAUUAUCUUAUUUCGUAGUCGAUAAUAUUCAAUUAGAGUAGACUAAAUAUAAUUUCAUAAUAUUCAGUAUCACAAUUGAGAAACCUAAUAUAAGAGUCACUACAUCAAUGAUAUAAACUUAAAAGAGAUAUCAUGCCCUAAUAUAAGAGUCACUAUAUCAAUGAUAUAAAUUUAAAAGAGAUAUCAUGUCCGAUAUUAUUAGAAACGUUACAUAUAUCAAAGAAUGACAUCAUGCAUAUUUAUAAUAAGGGUUAAUUUUAUUUAUGUCCCUAAGAUUUUGGCAAAAUACAUCUGACUUCUAUUAUAUUGAAAUUUUAUCUUAUAUUUUUUUUUAUUUUUCUUAUUUGAUAUUUUUGUUCGACUCAUUUAUGAUUCAAACUAAGGGAUAUUCAAAAUAAGAAAGAGAUUUGAUGAUUUUUUAAAUGGGAUGGAUUGUAUUUAACUAAAACCUAUGUAAGUGAAAUUAAGUCAUAGAGAUUACCUCACUCGACAUAAGAGUUGUUCACCUAACUUGAAGGUCAAACACUUAUAAAUGCCUGAGAGAGUUAGCUGUAAAUUCGUUACUCCUAUAAUAUAAAUGAUGGUAGUGUCUGUUUCUUUUUGAUAACCAUUAUGGACGGUGGGUACGUGUUAAAGAGUCGGUUUCCUCUAUGGUUACUCAAAUCAAAAGUUAAAAUGGGAUCAGGGAUUAGGUGGCCUACUCAAAUGACAAAAUCAUCGCUCAUUUGUUUAACCAAAGACACAUAUGUUUUGUCUUACGUAAUUGAGCACAUACCGCAAUGUUUAGAUAGCUAGUGGUCCAGUCUUACUUUGCUUUGAUUUCACAUGAUAUUGUUGAAAAAUAUGUCUCUGAAGUUUAUAUUAUUUUAGAAUAGAAAGUGAUGGCUUUUCCUUGGGUGGAGAAUUAAGCAACCUUGGUUGGUAAGCCUAAACAAGUGGUUGGCUGUUCCUUGGGCCCUUUCAAUGUAGCAACUGUCAUUCUAAUUAUUUCUCACCAACUCUCCCAUGGAAACCAUGACCAUUCAUCUAUUUCCCCUGUGAAAAAUGCCUGAUUAAUAACAUGGUUUUUGGCUCUCUUUUAUUUUAUUUUUUCAAAAUUAAGUUUAUAUUUAUUUUGUUUUUCAAAUUUUUAAAAUUUUUGAAUGUGGAUAUUGUUAAAAAGUAUGAUAAACAUAUUUAAUUCAAAGUUUGGAGAGAUGAAUUUUUUUUGAAAAAUUGAUUAUUUAAUAUAAACCAAAACUUGGUUUGACGAUAAGAGAUCAUAAAUUCAAGUCAUAUCUCUAUAAUUUAUAUAUUUGUUUCCUCCAUUUAUUUUUCCUCUCAUAUCCCUUCAUGUGAUGAUCUGAGCGCAGGAGGGUAUUCAUCAUGUGUUCUCAAACGGUAUGCAAGCUUCCUAUAACAAAUGGAAGCAAACCCCAUGAACAAAAAUGACAACACUCCAAGUUACUUUCAUUGAAAAAUAUAGCAAAUGAAAUUUCAAAGGCAGCCUCUUUUUAUUGUCAACAAUCUUAUUAAAAAUUGAAGGACAGGAGGAGGGGUUUGAUUUUCUUGUGGAGGAGCUUUCUACCAAAAAUUGAUGGACAAACUACCAAGUCCACCAUAUCAAAGGAACAUCUAUCGUGUACAAAAAACCCUUUUUAUUUAUUUAUUUAUUUUUAAAUUAUAUAUAUAUAUAUAUAUAUAUUAACUAUUAUUCAUAUUUUUUUUCUGAGUAGACCAGCCUUGCAAGGCUAUACUAUUCAGUCUUAAGUAGCAAAAUAUAACAUAAAAAAAAGUUCAAUAAUUUUGAAAUGGAAUCAUAUCGAUUAUGAACAUACAACUAGAAGGCAAAUUUAAUAUAUAUAGUUUUUAAGUAGACACUUUACAAGUGUGACAUACGGUGUUUACUUCAGGAUGUCGGUUGAGAUGGGACACUUUUUAGCAAUAAUAAAAUUACAAUUAUUUUGAGUUAAUGACAAAUUAAAAACUUAAAUAUUGAUGAAUAGAAGCUUGUUUGAUAAUGUGAUUUAAAAAUAAUUUUUUAUUUUUAAAGAUAGAAAAUUAUUUUUAAUAUUGUUUGAUUAUUGAUUUUUUAAAAAUAAAGUGAAAUAAAGAAUAGUUUUUAGUAAAUAAGUAAAAAUUGUUUUCACCGAUUUUUAAAAACUAAGGAGUUAAAACAUUAUAAAAAUUUUGUAUUUGCAUUCUCUUUUUCCUUAAAAAAAAAAAAAGAAAAGAUGAGCCCAUUUAACUAUGUUUUUUAAAACUUAUUUUUAAAAAUUGUUUUUCAGUUAAAGAAUAAAAAACAAAUUUUAGAAAAUAUGAUCAAAUGGGCUCUAAAUAUUUUUAAAAACAAAUUUUAAAAAUUAUUUUUAAUUGAAAAACAUUUUAAUUACUCUUAUGUUAAUAUAGAGCAUUUCAUUUUUCCUAUCAAAAGCGUCAUUAAUACUGUCACAAACAUCAUUUUCCUAUCAAAAACUUCCCAAUUGAUACAAUUGUUAUCAAUUUGCUUGAAUCUAGAUAUGUUAUGUAACUUUUUCUACCAUAUGAUUAGCUUAAGUUUUAUAAAAAAAAUUAUAUUUAUUUUUGAAAUUUUAAUUCAUACGUAAUGGGGAGAUAGUAGACAUUUUAAUGUUGUCCUUAAGUCUCCAACAGUAGUAGAGAUCAUUAUGAUCAAGUUAGCUUUCAAAACAAAUCUGAUAAUUUUUCGAGAGAUUUCCAAUAGAAAACAUUCCCCAAGGAAAUCCGUCACCCAAUUACAAGAAAUUCCUCUCAUUUCUUUUCUUGAACUUUCCUUAUCCAAUUAUGGGGGCGAAAUUCUAAACCCUUAGGUACUGCUUUGUGGAUAAUAUAGGUUUAGAAAUAAUAAGCUCUUCCUUUCACUUCUUUCUUUUCCCUUUUUUUUUUUCCCUUCUCUUCUUGUUUGCAAUUUUUUUUUCUUUUUAAGAAAAUAAUUGUGGAGGGAAACUAUUAAAAUGGUUGUUAUAUCCCCCUAAAACGUAGAAGUAACUUAAAAGGACUACAAAAAUCUUAAUAUAUAUAUCCAAGCUUGAACAAGAUGAAAAAAGAAAGAAGGAGAAGAAAAAGAAUGAAAAAAAAAAAGGAAAAAUACAUAAAACUAUUCCCUCUCUUAACUAGACCCUACCCAAAGCAAGCAAACUUUUAGUAUGGUUGUGUAACAAACUCCUAUUAUCAUUUUGUACAAGUGGUUUGAUCAAGAAUUUAAACAAUUUAAAUAUGAUUUGAUACUUUAAUCUUAUCCUUAGUUGUUUUAUAGAAUUGGAAUGAGUGUUGGUAGAAUCAACAACCAAUCAUGUGGUAAAUAUACCCUUUAGGAAUGAAAAUCUACUCCUUGUCACUCCUUAUAUGUCUCAAUAUUUCCAUCUACCCCUCUCUUCCUCUUAUAGACCCACUUGCAUGCUAUGAGUUUUAUCCCUUAGGUGUUUCUACAAGAUCCCAAACUCUGUUAGAAUACAUAGAUUUUAACUCUACCUCCAUAACUCCUUGCCAUAGAAUAACAUCAUCACUGCUUAUUGUCUCAUCAUAAUCCAUGAAAUUAGUUUCAUGUUCCUCUGGAAUUGUCUCAAAAGACUCCCCCAAAUACAUGAACCUAUCUAGUUGUAUAACAACCCUCCACUAUGAUGAGGCUUUUAUGUGUUAGAAGUGAUAGGAAUGAAAGGUGUAGGAACAUCUGGACCCAUAGUCUUUUGUGAUAAUGUGGAAAUAUCUUUAAGUGCUCUCCACUCAAUUUCACAUUUUGCCCUAUUACUCACCAUAUAGUUUUCUUUCAGAAAUUCAACAUUUGUGCUAACAACUACCUUCUAGUUGACCUAACUAUGAAAGUAAUGUCCUCUCAUUCCUUUUAGAUAGCCUAUAAAUUUACAUAUCUCUAACUUUGCUUCCAACCUGUCUACCUUUGGUUUAAGUGUGUGUGUUGGGCCACCUCAAAGGUGAAUGUGUCGCAAACUAGGUUCAUGACUUGUCCACAUCUUCAUGGGAGUCAAUGUAGGGAAUCUCGAAUUACUUUAUUCCCUAUCCCAAGAUUAGGUUAGGUGCAUGAAUUUCUUCCUAGGGCUCUAGAUUCUAAAAAUGGAAGCAAAAGAUACAUUUUUAAACAUAAAUGGAUCUAGAUUAAUAGUUAUAGAAACUUUACCUCAUAAUUGGAUGUUUUCAAAUCAAAUCCACGCAGUUGAGAUAAAGCCUAAAGUAUCCAGAGGUCUUGUACACUCAAGGUUUUCUGCCUAAUGACUUUAACUUGAUCUUAGCACUCCAAAGAUGGGUCUUUGGAAGGGAGAAGGCUAUGACUCUCUUCUCUUUGGAUGGUGGAAGACUACUAGCUUGAAAACCCUAACCCCUAAGGGGGUAUUUAUAGGUUCCCUAACUAGGCUUAAGUGACUCAAGCUUAUGGUAAGCUUGAGUCACUUAAUCUUGGUAAGCUUGAGUCACUUAAUCUAGCCCAAAAUGUGUCCUAAUUGAUUAAUUAACCCUCUUAGCCUUCUAAUUAAUUAAUUAGCUCAAUUCAAAGACUUUUUUCACUAACCAUGUGCAACCUUACAUAAUUAUCAAAACACCUUUAUGCACAAAAUUAAACCAAAAGUCAAUCCAACCCUUAUAGGCUAUGCCAUCAAGGUAUAAGAGAUUUAGUGGGGACUACUAGGACCCAUAGGAGAGCAUUGGUUCCCUCAAAAUUCAAUUCUAAAGUUGAUUCAACAUCUCAUUAUAGAGAAUCAACUACACUCCAAUACCCAGUGUAAAUAACAACGAGACACUAAGUGUUUGGAUAUGUGACUUGCUAUCUAUUGUAUUUAGUCUUCCCAUAAACUAGUGUUUGUAGUCUAACAAAGUGAAAACUAUCAACUUUUCAAGACUACCUCUACUAUCUUUGAGUUACAAAUCCUCCUAUUAUGUGAUUAAAUGACAUAUUUUAGCUCACUAAGAGCAUAUGUCAAAUUUCACUAAAGGAAUUAUUACGGGUCUAUAGAUUUCAUGAUCAUACGUCCUUAGGAUCACCUAAGGGGACACACUGUCUCAAAGUUCACGAGCAGGGACCACUAGGAUCCAUACGAAAAUACAAGCUUUCUUAAAAUCCAAUUUUAAAUUUGAAUCAACACUCCACUAAAAAGAGUCAACUCACUCUAAUAUCCUUUAAUAUUUACAAUAGGACAAAGCUUGAGUUCGUAACCUACUAUCAACUGCACACAAACCCCUAUAUGAAUUGGUUUUGUAAUCUAAUGAGGUAGUGUUAUCAACUUCUCAACAUUACCUCUCUAAUUGUUCAACUAUAAUCCUCCUAUUAUAUAAUAAACUAACAUACUCUAACUCACAAAGAGCAUAUGUCAAAUUCCACUUAAGGAAUUACUACAACUAUAAUUUCUUGAUCACAUGUCCUUAGGAUCACCCAAGAGAACAUGUUGUCUUAAUCCCAUGAGAUAUCAUGGUGCCUCUAUUGAGAAUACCAAUUGUCAUAAGCCUCCAUUAGUAGUAACCCAAUCUAUAGGGAUUAUAUGACCACCUUAAGGUCUUACCCAUAGGUUAAAGCCUCCUAUUGACUUCAACACAUACUCAAUAUCCUCUCAAGGUUGAGAUUCCAUAUAAUAUAAUAGCUUGGUGAAUCAUAACUACUUGAUAACCAAUGUCAAAUUUACUAUAGGUUUUGUUUAAUGUAUAACCAUACACAUUAGUGCACACACCAUGGGAAAGACAUUCCGAUGACUAAGACAAAUCAUCCCUCUAACUAGGAGGUAGUGCACUACAUUCUCUAAUAAAUUACCUAAAUCCAUAAAUUGACUAUGAACUACUUAUCACCUCACAAGGGACUCAUGACUUGGAUUUUCUAUACACCUCCUAAUGCACUCAAGUCAUGUACAAUACAAGUGAUAUGGUUGUGAAUAUUCAAAUAAAUAAUUAUUUCAAACUGAAUAAUAGAGGAAACUAAAAUCACAAAUAAAUAAGUUUAUUUAUAAAUCUAAAAUUUGUUGCAUCAUGUUAUGCUUUCUAGGAUUCUAUCCCAACAAUACACAUUAGUAUACUCAUCAUGGGAAAUUCAUUUGGAAGACCAAGACAAGUCAUUUAUCCAAUUAGGAAGUAGUGCUCUAUAGCCUCAAAUAGAUUCCCUAAAUCCAUGAACUAGUUGUGAACAAUUCAUCAACUUGUAAGAAACUCAUGACUUGGAUCUUCUAUGCAACUCCUAAUGCAUCCAAGCCAUGUACAAUGCUGAUGAUGUUGACCUAAAUGCUCAAUUAAACCACAAUACAAAAGAUAGUUAGUGAAGUGAAAUUGUUACAUAAUGUCAUUAAGGAGUUUGUCCUGACAAAUAUUCCAACCUAUUGUUAGUAAGCCAUAACCUUAUAAUUUUCUUUUAUGUUUGAUCUUCAAUCAAGGUUUUCCACUAUCUACUAGUCUUGAAAGCUAGGUUAUUAUGUUUUAACAAAUAAGCUUAUACUUUUAUAGAGAAAUCAUUUAUGACAGUAAUGAAGUAUCUAAUAUCCUCAAAUAAGAAACUCUUGCAAGCCCAAAAAAUUUCAUAAUGUAAAUAAUCUAAUGUUUUUUAUAAUAUAGACAAAAGUAAACAAUUUUACCCUUCUUUGCUUACCAAACACACAAUGUCUACAUAUGCUUAAUUUUCUAAUUUUUCCAUUCCUAAGAAUACCUUGUCUACUUAAAUUAAUUGGCUUCUCUCACUAACACGAUCGAGCUUGAAAUGCCAAACUUUAGUAGAGUCUUUUUUUUUUUUCCCAAAAACUAAAUUAGUAUGAUUUGUGACAGUCUUAUCUUGUAAAGUGUAGAGCUCGUUUCUUCUUACACCCUUUAGAAAUCUUGAGAGCUCCACCUUCACCUUUGAAAAUGCAUCCUUUUUUAUCCAACAAUCCAAAAAAAAAUUAUAUUUCUCUUCAACUUUGAUACACGCCUUACAUUGUUCAAGAUUUUGAUAGAAUAAAUUGGGGCUUAAAUAUAUAUGUGUUCUAAUUGCACAUAAAUAACAUGAUUUAAAUGAUAAAUGAGGCUCAAGUCAUCUAAUUUAACUUGAAUUAGUUCUAGAACCCAUGGGUCUAAUAUCUAUUUUAAGCUUAAUUUUAGGGUAAAAAGAUGAAAGGAUGUAAAGUGACAAAUUUAUCUCCAACCAAAAUAGAAAAAGGAAGUCAAAUGUUUGAAGAACAAGGUUUGAGACUUAUGGAGCAUGAUGAGAAUCCAAGUAAAAGAUAAAGAGCAAGACAUGAACAUGAAAAAUGAGAAAUGAAGGUCAUGGAGGGAGUUAGAGAGCAAACAAUCAUAAGUAAGAAGGUUUGAAACUUUGUUUUCAAGUUUAAAAGGAAAUUAGAACUCAAACUAAUGCAUCACCAUCAUCCAUGACCUUGAGCUAAAUUAUUAGUAGUUUCUCAUGAGUUUGUUUUGGUGAUUUCUUGUUAUAGUUUCAAAUCUUAAUUGAAAAAUCCAACAAUUUGAAUGGUUAGUGAAUAAGAUUUGAAAUAAGGAAGAUACGUCCAUUUGAAGUGAGUUACAUAGAGAGGAGAAGUCUAAUUUAGAAUGUACAAGUUAAGUCCUAGAUUAUUUUGGCCAUUUGGAACUCGAGGGAAUGGAAGGAGGAAAAUGGUAGAAACUCAAUUCAAGAGUUAACAUGCAUAUCAAACUAAGCAACAUGAUUUCGAACUCAAGAGAGAGUAAGUAAGAAGGACAAAGGCUAAAUUUGAAAUACUCAAUCAAUUCAAACUUAGGGUUUUCCAAUUUCAAACUCAACAUAAUAAGGUCUCUAAAGUCACAUAUCAAUUCAAAAUCUAUUUCUAAUUUACCCUAGAUUUUGAACUUAAGGAUUGUUUUUGUAUUUCAAGCUUCAAAUCAAUUUAAAAUGAGUUCUAAACUUUCCAAGCCAAUUCAAAAUAUGCAAGGGACAUUUAGAACUUAUAAAUGUUUUUAUUUUUGUGAUAAUUAUUAUAUAAAAAUGGCCAAUGAGAGCAUGUCAAAUGUUAGGAUUAUGUGAAUGCUUUUGGGAACCUCAGAUCACUUUGUUCCCUAGCAUUGGAUCUCAUAGGGUGCAUACCAUCUAUCCCUUGGAUCUCUAAAUCUAACACAAUGGAGAAUAAUGACAAUAAAAAAAGUUAUAUUAAAACUUGGUUCUAGAGAUAUAGUUACAUAACUAUAAUCUUGAUGUUCCCAAAUCAAACCCAAUCUGAAAAAUAUGUCGUGGACAUCAUAGAACUUGUUUACCCAAAUGUCUUCCACCUGAUCUCUCUCUUCAUGGAUCCUAGCAUCAAAUAAGUGUGGGCUUCUCUUCUUCUUUUGAGGGUGGCUAGCAUUUCUCUUUCUUUUUCUUUGAAAGACAAUGAACAAAAUGAAAAAAAAUUUGAACCCUAAACCCUUAAAGGGGUUUGUAUAGGGUUCCCUAUAGGCUUAAGUGACUUGAGCCCAAAUUGGGCUUGGGUCACUUAUAUCCUAAUUGAUUAAUUGGCUUUAAUGCUCUCCAAUUAAUUAAUUAGUUCAAACCACUAAUUUAGAAAGGUCAUUUAUAAGAUCCAAGACAACCUUGUGGUUUUAUAAAAGCACCCUUGUGCACACUUUUAAACUACAAACCUAAAUCCAUUAAAUAAAGAAAGUUAACUACAUUCCAAUAUCUUAUGAAAUAACAACAAACCAGGGCUCAAGUCGAUGACCUACUAUUCAUUACAUGUAGACUCCCCAUAAACUGGUGUCCAUAAUUUAAUAAGGUAGUGCUAUCAACCCAUCAAAAUUACCUCUUCAAUCCUUGAGUUACAAAUCCUUAUAUUAUGUGAUCAACUGACAUACCUCGUAAAGAGCAUAUGUUAAAUUACACUUAAGGAAUUAUUGUAGCCACAUAUUUCAUGAUCAUAUUUCCUUUAGAUUACUCAAGAGGACACAUUGUCUCAAUGUCAUAAGAUAUCAUGAUUCUUCAAUUGAGAAUACCUAUUACCACAACCUUCAUCAAUAGUGACCUAAUUUGUAAGGAAUAUAUAACCACUUUAGGUUCUCACCAAUAGGUUAAAACCUCUUAAUGAUUUUAGGACAAACUCAAUAUCUUCUCAAGGUUGAGAAUCCAUGCAAUAUAAUAGCUUGGUAAAUCAUGAAAUCCUAAUAGCCUCACGUCAUGAUCCACUGUAGGUUCUAUUCAAUGUGUAACCAUACACACUAGUACACUCACCAUGGGAAUUUCAUCCCGAUGGUCAAAAUAAGUUAUCCCUUCAAUUAGGAGGUUGGUGCAUUAUAGUCUCCAUUAGAUUGCCCGAAUUUAUGAACUAACUAUGAACAAUUUAUCAUCUUACAAGGAGUCCAUGACUUAUAUUUUCUAUACAACUUUUAAUACACCCAAAUUAUGUAUAAUACAAGUGAUAUGAGUUUGAAUGCUCAAAUCAAUAUUAAUGCAAAAGCAAAUAGCAAGUAGAAGGCCAAGUUUAAUCUUGUUACAUCAUGUCUUACUUUUAAGGGCUCUAUCCCAACAAAUGCUAUAGAAACUCAAUUUUUGUAAGUUUUUUAAAUUGAAUGAUGACAAAGACAUAUUGGGUUUGUUUUCUUUAUGCUUUUAAAUUGAGACGUGAUAUUCAAUUUCUUUUGAUUUUCAAUACAUGCCUUUUUGCUAUAUUAUAGAUUAUAUGAGUGAUAACACUCCCAUAAGAAGCUAAAAAGCCUUAUUGGGGUAUGCAUAAUGAAGACUUAAAGCUAGAAACUAGUAUGAACAAUGGGUAGGAAAAAUUAACAAUGAGUUUGAUGAAUGGUUUAAAAUAACAAUAAUGGGAUUGAUAUUCUCUCUAUGUUAGUUUGAAUUAGUAAAUAGUACAGUUGCAUUCUAUUACAUACUAGUGAUUCUUAAUUACUUUAAUUGCUAGUUAUCAUAGUCUUUCCUAUCAUUAUUUAUCUAAGACAAAUCUGUAAGAAAUAGUAAGGAUUAAAAUGUUGGCUAAAAUGUUGAUACUUUAACCUAUAUUGAAUUUCAUUUAUUUGAUGGUAAUUAGGAAUCAAAAUUAAAAGGGAAAAAAUUAGGUUUAGAUGCAAUUCUAAGUUAUAAAUCUCGGCUUGAUCUUGGUUAACUAAGUGAUUCGUGCCCAAUUGGUGUCUCAGCUGAUUCGUGUGCAGCUGGUGCUCCUUGAUUGAGGGAUUAAUCAACAAAAUUUAUUACCUAUAACACCAUACACUAGGGUAGCAAAGAAAAAGCUACUAUAGUAUAGUGGCUCUAGGGUCGUUCACUGGGAAUGAUUAACAAGCAAUCAAUGAUACCAAUUCCAAGUGAAUUGGUCUUGUUUCAUUUCAAGGUUAGCUUAAGAAGUAAAACACAAACUUUGAUUGGUAAAGGUUUAGACUUAAACUAACUAACAUAACAGAAGUUUGGAAUAAUUUAGGAAGAAAAGCAUUCCUUGGAGAUUUAGGUUCACUGGGGUGGUUCCUCAUGCAAAAGACACGGCUCUGGUCAGAUGGUUCAUUUCCUCGCAUUAGAGAUUCAACAUAUAGUCAAUUCUCUAACCGGUGAUGUACAGAGACUCCUUCAAUUAGAUUUCACUUUAAUUCUCUCACUGAUGCACUUUGCAAUGGUUUAAGCCUCUCACUAAGCCUUAACCAUUCAAGGUGAUCUUUAACCUUGGAUUACCCGUCAAAAGCUCGCAAGAGAUAACUAAUGGAUGUCUCCUAGGAGUCCAAAAGCUUACCAAGUGUUGGCUAUUCUAGAAAAUCCUACCUUGAAGUCACCUACCAGAGGCUCGCAAGGGGUAAACUAGUGCAUUUCCAUGGUUGGAAAUCACUUGCCUUACCAAGUGUUGGCCCAGGUGACUCUAAGGUGUUUUAAGUUAACUAAAAACAUAGAAAUCACUAAAGGAUUUCACUUCCUCUUCAUUACUAGCUAAAACCACAGAGUUUUGCAUUCUUGCACUUGGAACCUUCCCCGGCAACCUUAGCUCCAAGGAAUUAGAGGUUUAGUUACUCAUUCUCUGGGGAAAACUCCUCAGAGAAUUCAUAACUUAGAAAUAAAAUAAAAAUACAAAGUGAGAAGGUAAGGCAGUAGAAAGAAAAUAGACUUUACUUGCUUUCCCAAACGUUUACAGAAGGAACUCCUCUCUGAGAACAGGCUCCCGAGAGGUAUAUAUAUGAACAUAAUAUAAAACUAAUUAUUACAUUGAUAUUUAGUCUUUUUACUAACUUAAAAACUAAGGAAUCAUGUAAUUGGUGGUUUACAAGGAGUAUUUUGGGAUUUAGACAACAAAAAUCUAAUGGAAAAUAUCUCCCAAUGUCGGUAGCAAAUAUCGGGAGGCUUCAGGAACCAUUUCGCAGGAGAAAAAUGGUGUCUGCGAAAUUUCGCAGACACUCAAGAGGGCUGCGAAAUAAUUUCGCAACACCAAGCUAUCUUCACAGGGAUGCGAAGUUGGCUUCCACCUUGAGGUUCCCAGCUUCCUUCUCGCGGCAUAAAUUGGGCAUCGUCAGAAGGAGAUACACCCUACUGUACAAAAAGGCUGCGAAAUCACUUCGCAACAAAAGGGUGAUUUCGCAACACUUUGCAAAAUGCUUCCUUCAGCUCGGAGUGAUUGGCUUGUAAUGGCUGCAACUUCUUCGUUUCAACUCCGAAUUGCUCACCGUUUGAAGCAUUGGAUUGUUGACUUCCUGAGCUUUGAAAUGGUAUAUAGCAUGCAUCAUUUGGACUUCAGAAAGUGCUCCAAAAGUGGCUGCUACCACUGUCAUCAAGAAUAUGCUUUAUGGCAGAUUCUCUUUGCUUUUUCUCCUUGCAAUCUGGAUUCACUCUUGGCAAAUGACUUCUAAGCUUUGCCCAAGAUUCCUCAUAGCUCUCCUCAUACUUGACUUGCUUUGGUGAUCAAAAUACUAACAAAAACACCAAAACUUACACAAAGUGAUCAAAAUUGCUUUAAAGGAUCCUUAACAUGCCAAUUGAGUUAAAAGGCCUAAACUACUACUCAAAAGUGUUUAAAAGGAUUAAUUAUAGGCUAUCAAAUAACACUUUUUGAGUAGUAAUCACUAAGAAUCCUAAAAACCUUAUAAUCACCAUAAUUGAGAGACUCGUGUUCGCUCCACUUUUUAUUCUCACGGUUGGAUUAUGGAAACCUCAAACUUCAGCCAAAUGAAUUAGAAACCAAUAUCUUCUUAGUUAUUUAAUUAGUUUUCUUUAGUUAGUUCCAAUUCAUAAAAACCAAUUCAUGCAUUGUUUUCACUUUAGGAUUUAGGCAAAGCAAUAACCAUGGAUUAGUAUUGACAAUUUUUAUAGGCUUCAGGGCAAUACUUGGAAUAUACUACAAUAGCCAUGGCAAUUCUUUCUAUUUUUUUUCUUGGUCAAGGAUACUAUGUGUCUAAGCUAUAGUGUUUUGGUACAAUAGAGAAUUGCGAUGAAGAACCAUCUUUUCUUUUGCUUCUAAUAGUGUAAAUUAUUGUGGCUUUCUAGGCCAUGCUGUUCCCCAUUAGCACCUCCUUCCAUCAACUUCUUUGCAAUCAUAAAAAAAAUGUUGCUUUGGGAUCAUAUGAAAAAAAAAAAAUUGAAUCUAGAAUCCAUUCUUCUAUGUACAUUGUUUUCUAUAGAAAUAGAUAAAACAUAUAUGCUUUCAUAUCCAUUUUGAUGCCUUUGCUGCAUCACCAUAAUUAUUUUCUUUCUCUUUAAGCUUUUUCUUCCUCUUUGGGCAAUCUUUUGUGAAAUAGUUUCUUUACAUAUAUACAUAAUUAGAACGUGACUUGUUCUUGUCUUUUGAUUAUCUUAUUUCCAGUAUUCCACAAGCAACAAAACACCAUCCAUUAUUUUCUUCCUUGGAAUAUAUGUGAUCUUUUUCUUCAAUUCUUUUAAAUUAAAGGAAGCUUUCACCUCUUCUAAUGUUGAUAUCUCUCUUUUAAAAAUCAUUAUUUCAACAAGAUUCUCAUAGGAACUAGGAAGUACAUGAAGUAGUAGAACAACUUGGUUAUCAUCUUCAAUUUUUUUAUUAACACUUUCAAAUCAAGAAUGACCUUCAUGUAGAUAUUGUUUGCUCUAGGUUCAAAGGGCUCUUAUGGCUUUAAAACGCGUCUAUAAGGUUAAGAGGAGCUUAUAUAUAUAUUCAAUAACUUUCUCUCAUAUCUGAUAUGAAAUAUUGCAAAUACUCAUACAAACACAAUGUCCUUAUUGUGCCCCACAGGGUUAUAAGACCAAACAGAAAGACACCCCUUACAAGGCCAAAUAAACCCCCACAUCUAGUCAAUGAUCAAUUUUGAUACCAUUUGUAAUGACUCAAACCCAAUCAUAUAGAUCUUGUGAUCCACUCUAGUUCCAAAGGGUCCUCACAACUUUAAAACACAUCUACAAGGUUAAGAGAAACUCAUACAUAUAUAGCCUUAGUAACUUUCUCCCAUAUCUAAUGUGGGGUAUCACACUUAGUGCUUCACAUGUUCACUAAAUCUCUAAUUCUUUUAAAUUUGGAAGGAAAAACCACAAACAAUUUAAAAAAGUUAACGAGAGCAGUUAGCCACGAUAACUAAAAUAUGAGAACAAAGGAGUAACUAUACAAAUGGGAAUGAAAAUCAGCAAGUGUAGAAUGAUGUCCUAACUUAAUCCGUGAUUUUUACAUCAUGUAAUAUAUAAUAUAACCGCUAGAAUUCAUAUGUUUUAAGAUAUCAUUUUGGAUGGUUUUCAUACUCUUAAUGUAUAAUUGAUCUAGGAAUACAUAAAGGUGCUAUCAAAGAAAAAAAGUACCAAUUUUCAUUAUGAUUGUGGAAAUUAAGGGAAAAAAACACUAUUGAACCAAAGAUUUACCAAGUUCUAAAAGAUUAUUUAUUAUCCUUUAAUAAUUAGCUGUGGCUAUAGAAUAAAAUAUUUAAUCUAAUCUUUAAAUGUGCAACAAUUCAUCCUCAACUUUAUAUUUAGACAAACAGACAAAAAAACAAAACAUUUGGUAGACAUGAAGUGUGAUGUCCCACAUCGGAUAGGGGAGAAUGUUCUUGACGCUAUAUAUGUAAAGACUCCUCUUAACCAAGUAGACGCGUUUUAAAGCUGUGAGGGCCCCCUUGGGCCUAAAGCGAACAAUAUCUUCAUGGUUGGGUGCGGGUCAUUACAAAUGGUAUCAGAGCCGAUCCCUAACCCUGGUGUGGAGGUUUGUAUGGCCUCGUAAGGGGUGUUUGUCUGUUUGACCCCACAAUCCCAUGGGACACAACGAGGACGUUGUGUCUGCAUGGGGGGGUGUUUGUGAUGUCCCACAUCAGAUAGGGGAGAAUGUUUCUAGCGUUAUAUAUGUAAAGACUCAUCUUAACCAAGUAGACGCGUUUUAAAGCCGUGAGAGCCCCCUUGGGCCUAAAGCGGACAAUAUCUACAUGGUUGGGUGCAGGUCAUUACAUGAAGCAUCCCAACCCUUGCAAUGGAGAAUUGGCAUCAAUUGAAUGACAAAAAAGCAAAAUAUUUGGCAUACAUGAAGUAUCCAAACCCUUGCAAUGGAGAAUUGGCAUCAAUUGAAUGGCAAAAAUGCAAACUAUUUGGUUGACAUGAAGCAUCCAAACCCUUGCAAUGGAGAGUUGACAUCAAUUGAAUGACAUUAAUAGAAUCUGAGAAAUAAACCCAAUAGAGAAUAAUAUAGUUCAUUAUUCUUAUAAAAACUAUACUAAAGACAUAAUUAGCAUUACUUAUUUCAAAGCAAAAUUAUCAAUUUAACAUGUAAUCCAUAAAGACACCUAACAAAGAGAUUAAGGAAUCUCACCUAGAAUUGCCUCUUUUACUUUGGCCUUUUGGAUCAUCUCAAAAGUAAAUUUGGAGGUGUCAUACUAGAACCAACAACCAAAGCUUUUAUUACAUCAUCAUAUGAUGAGCUUGGUAGGCAUAUAUACUUCUUAUACAUAAAGCUUCAUGUAUUCAUCCAUUCGCUUGUAAUUAACUUCCGGAUAGAGCUUUGUAGCUUCUCCCCCUUCUCCGAUUUCAAAGUUUGUUAAACAACCCUCGUAGUAAAUGUGAUAGAAAUGUCCUACCCCAACUUGGCUUGCAUAGUCCAUACCUACAACAUACCAUGCAUAUAUGGAAAGAAUAAAAACAAGUACUAAACUAAAAGUGAACAAAUAAAUACUUGUAGAUGAAUGAAUGUAAUGUAAAGUUAGAAGUUUUUAUUUCUCAGUUAUAACCUUUCAUAGAGGCUAGAAAGUCUUCUUUGGAGAUGCUAGACUUGUCUAAUGUCUUCCCUGUGAGCUUUUCCCACAUCUCAACUAUUUGCCUUUGGGAGAGAAUGUUCUCUGGUGGUCUGAUGUAAACUGUCUUGUUCAAUGUACGAGGAUCAUCUAUUGUUUUGAUUGCGUAUGUUGCAACAUCAUCUUCAUCCACGAAAACCGCUGUAUAAUACCCCGUAAAACCGGUUCAUAUACACACAAUCGUAUUGCAAAUAAUUAAGUUGUAUCACAAAAUUUUAUAAUUAAUUGUAAGUACCUUUGACAUUGCCAUCUCCAUAUAGACAAACCUUUUCCUUUGGAGGGGUGAGGGCAGCCAUUUGAGAGAGGUUAGGAACAAAGUAGCCUGCAAAGCAGUUGGCAGAAACAUAAGUGUGGGGAAUUUUGGCUUCUUCUAUGGCCUUCCUCACAAUCAUCUUCUCAUCAAAUGACACUCUUCCUGGUUCAAGUGCAUCUCCCAUUCUGGAUGGGUCCAUUCCAAACUCUGAAGGCAAGAAUCGCUACCAAAUUUUUUUGCUCAAAAUUAGUAUCAAUCUUAGAGUUUGAUAUUGAUAGAAUUUAUAAUGCAGGCCCAUCAAAAGAGUGGGGAAAUUACUAAGAGUCAAAAGCCAAAGGUGUCACAUGCUAGGGGGGGCAUGGGUGGCCUAGUAUGGAAUAAAGAAAGAAAAAAGUAAAUAAGAGGGACACUGAGAUUGUCUGUGGACCAGACCCUAUGCUCCAUCACUCCUUUGGACACUUUUUGCAUAGGACAAAAUAUAUUGUCUGAUAAUUCAAGAUAUUGAAAUACCAUUCGAGUUAGAAUUCAGAGAAAAAUAAUAUUUUAAUCCAAUAGAAAUAUUAUUUUUGCUACUUAAUAAUCUAUGUAUUUAAAAUUAAUUCAUUUAUACCUUCAAGACAUAAAAAUAUUGAGAUUAAAUAAAUAAAUAGAGUAUUUUAUAUGCUAAUUAUGACUUUAGGAAUAGAGUUUGACUUUAUUUGGAUUUAUUUAUUAGGUUUACCUAAAGUAAUGAGAUUCGGUGGUCCACUAAUUAUAAAUAUAGAAUAAAACAAAAUAAUAACCAAUACGGAAUGUCUUUUAGUUUAAUUAGUAUUAUAACUUAGAUUUUUUAGCAACUUGGGCAAAUUAAUUAGGUUGAUCGGUAAGUUGUGUCAAAUCUAAAUUAAAAAAUUAUACAGAAUGACUUAAAGUACUUAAUUUAAGUCCAACUCAACUUAUUUUUUUUAAGAUCAAAUUGAAUUUGAGUUGGUUGGCUUAUAUUUGAGUUGAUGGAAUUAUAUCAUUUAAAAUAUAUCUAUAAUGUUUUAUAUAUAUAUUUAUACUAAAAUUUAAAUAAUAAAUAAAAUAACAUAUCAAGAUAGUAAAAAUAAAUUUAUAUAUCUUUCUAAAAUAAAUAUAUAAUAUAGUUAUAGUUUGAUAUUUUUUUUGAAAAAAAAAUCAUCUAAGAAAAAAGGAACAUUAUUAUGUAGGAUGAUAUACCUUAAAAUAUUAAAUUGGUUCAGAUUGUUUAAACCUUGAUUGGAAUUCAACUAACAUUGAACUUAAAUUAAACAAUUUUAAUCCAAACCCAACUCAAUUAUAAAAAUAUAUUCCCAAAUCCACACAUACUUUAAGUUGAGUUCGGAUUUGAUCGGGUCACUAUUUCUCAAGUUAUUUAGCUUAGUGACUUUCUUCAUCCUCUAAAAACACUUCCUAGUACUAAAAACUUGAUCACGUGUUAUUUUACCCUUCAUUUUUUUCCAUUCCCUAAUCAAAUAAAUAUUAUACAAUAAGUUCUCUAGAAUAUAAAUUCAAAGGCAUGUCUCUGAAACACAUAAGAGAAUGGUUCAUACAAACAUUAAUUUUUAGUUUCUAGAAUGCAAGUUCUCGUCAUAGGCCUCUGUCGAGAAUAUGAAUGCUUAGUCAAAUGUGAGAUCACUUUAUUGACAAGGGUUCAGGGAACUUGGAUUCUUUUAGAAGGCUCACACCACCUUUUCUUUUUACUCUUCUGUUGUCAAGACGCUGGCCCCUAGUGUGUGGUUCCCGUUUUUCUCGUAUGGGCCAUGACCUACUCGAUUCUACUUUUCUACUUCAGAAGACAGGCAACCUUCUUUGACCAACCACAAAUUUAUGCUUCAUUUUUCUGGUGUUAGUUUGACCGAGAAGGAUAGAAAGUAAAUAAAGAGCUAAUUUAGACCUUAAUUAAAACAUCUCCUUUAGUAAAUUAUGCCAAACUUUGCAGAGGUUCUAAAAGGAAAUAUAUAUAUGUACAUACCUUAAUGUUUCCAGCUUCUUUGAUGGCGUCGACAAGUUUGAGCUGCAACAAAAGGUUGUGAGACCUGAAAUGAACCCCAGACAUGGUGCAGAUCACCACAUCUACUUUCUUCACAGCUUCUACCAGACUCUUAUGAUCUGCAACGGACCCCUCCACAAGGGUAGCCCCCUUGGCCUUGAAGGACAGCAGCAUCUGCAGUUUGUCGAUGUCCAUACCGAUCUCCGGGCGUUGGAGGACAAAGGUGGGAUGGCCUUGGGCUAAGCUUGCCUUCACCAUCCUCCUUCCGAUAUACCCUGUGCCACCCACAACAAGAACCUUGCUCUUUUCCAUCUUCUCUUCUAUUGUUUUGCCUUCCACACCCACAAAUAUAUGGAGGAUUUAGCAAUGGGAUCAAUGGUUUUCUACUUUUUUUGAAGCAAAUUAGGUUGGGUUAGACCCCAACAAUAAGGCCAAGAACCCUAUAUAUGAUAUAAAUAAUAUUAGAAUAAAGAUGAUAGAGAUAGUCAUAAAAGUGGAGCCACAGACAUUUCAAAAUAAAAGUGGAGCCACAUAAAUUUCAAAAUAGAAAGGGAAAAGUAGGUUUCAUUAAUAUAAAAAUAUAUAGAAAUUUGAAAUACAUACACACUUUUUAAUGAGUGAUAUUAUUAUUUUAAAAAAUAUUAUUUUAUUUGUCAUGUUAUCCAAAUUAAUUGACAAUUACACUUCCUCAUUUAAAUGUUUUCAUUCCUUUUAAUAUUAUUAUUAUUAUUUUCUUAUUUUAUUAUUUGGGAUUUUUCUUUUUCUAGAAACAAAGAAUUCUUAUUUUAGUUUCCUAAAAAUUUAGGAAAUAUUGUGCAAAAAAAUCCUAUUUAAAUAGGAUUAAUAUAUUUUUUUAUUUCCUAGAAUUUUAAGAGGAAAUAUUAACAAACAAAUCCUAUUUAAUCAUAAUUACCAAUUCAAAAAAUAAUAAGGUUGUUUAUUAAAUAAUAAAUAAUAAAUUUAAUUAUAUAUAUUUAUUUUAAUUAUGAUUAGUUUAUUUAAUAUAAAAUAAUUAUUUAUUUAUUUAUUUUUAUAUUAUAUAUCAAAGUAAAAUCAUAUUAUAAAAUAUUUUAUAUCUGAAAAACACUUACAACAAAUUUUAUUAUCCAUUAUAUUAAAUAAUUAUUAAUAUUAUAUAAUAAAUACAAAUUUAUUAUUGGUUUAUUUAUAAUAAAAAAUAUGAAUUUAUCUUUAAUUUAUUAAUAUUAUUAAAAUAAACUAUUUUUCUUUUUUUAAAUUCUUAUUUUAUAAUAUUUUAAGAGAAAAAAAUCUCAAAUAAUGAAAUAAUCAUUAUAAUAAAUCUAAAAAGGAUUAAAAGAUCUACAUAAAGGAGUCUAAUUAUCAAUUGAUUUGAAUAAUACGAUAAAUAAAAAAUUAUUUUUGAAAAUAAUUGGAUGACUCGUUAAAAAGUGUAUAUAGUUCAAAUUAUUUUUAAAUAAAUAAAGAUAAUAUUAAUUUAAAAUUUUUGAGAUUUUUUUUUUAUAUUUUUAUACGAGUGAAUCAAAUUCAACUUUUCUCAAAUAAGAAACUAUAUUUAAUUAUUUUUGUUUUUAUUUAAAAUUAAAAAUAAAAUUGUCACGCACUAGGAACAGCCAUCUCCACUUUCCUUCUGUUUUCUCGUGAGAAAAGUGAAAACAGUAGAGUUUAGAUCGUGAGAAAUUAAAUAAAAUAAAAUCAAUUAUUAUUUGUUAUCAAAAGUGUUGCCCUGCACGGUACGUAGCCAGCAAAGAGCAUCGACAAGUGUAGGAAUAUUGUUUGCCUCGCUGGUCUUCCACUCUAUUCCGGCCUGCAAAUGCAAUGUUUUCGUUCACGAUUCAUGGUUGAUUGAUUUGAAUGCGUUGUCGGAAAGAAAUCAUAAAUAUAUAAUUUAUAUAUUAUUAAAAUUUAAAAUAUUUAUAAAAAAUUAAAAAUUAAUAAUAUUUAUUUAUUUAAUAUUAUCAAAUUAGUAUAUAAAUAUAUUAAUAUUUUAACAUUUUAUUAAAUAAAAUAUAUAUAAUAUUUAAAUAUGAAGUUAUUUAAUUUAUAUAUAUAUAUAUAUAUAUAUAUAUAUAUUAAAAGUAAUAUAUUGAAUUAUUUUAUAGUUUUAAAAUAUUAUAUUAUUUUACUUUAAAUUAUUUGCAUUUUUAUUAUUAUAAAAUUUUUGGGAAGAAUCUAUUUUAUCUAGUUGAUGUAGAAAGAUUUGCACAAGUCAUAAAUAGCACAAUAGUCGGCAUGAUUUCUUAAGCUUAAUGUUACGUGGUCGAAUCCCCAUGUUGCAUUUUAUUCUCCCAGUUUUCAGAUUCCACAUCGAAAUGGCAUGAUAUUGUUGGCUAUGGUUGUGGCUUAUGCAGUGGCUCACUUCAUGCAGUGGCUCACUUCCCAGAUUUAAGCCCAAUAGUGUGGCCCAUUUUGGCCCAAAGAAUUCAGGCUCCAACCGACAGCCCGUUCACCAAGUCAGUGGUCCAACUGCCGGGUCGUCCGGUUCGACGGCGGUUCAUGACCCAUCCAGCUUCAAUGUCGACCCAAACCGGAUUUGGCUAGGUCGGUCCAUUUUUAAAACAAUGUGCAAAUAUUAAAAUUGAUAAUUUUUAAAUAUGAAGAAAAUACCAAAAUGUCAGUCAUUGGAUUUUGUGAAUACAUCACAAAUGAUUUUUCAAUACUAUGAGAAUUUGUUUGAUAUUGUUCUUACUGAAACUAUUUUUAGUAGAAAUUUUUUCUCUUUUAAAGUGUUUUGAGGAGAAAUUAUCAAGUAUUGUUUCUCCAUCAAACAUCACAAAGAUUUUUCCAAUACUAAAAAUAAUUUUUCUGAUUUAUUAAAGUGUUUUCUAAAUUUUAUCGACUACCUAAUUUUUUUGUCAAAAAUACUUUUUAAAUUAAAAGCAUUUCCUAAAAUCAUUGUUAAACGAAAUCUUAAUAUUAAAUUUUCAUAAAGCGUUUUUAGUCUUUCUAACACUUAAGAAUAUAAAAAAAAAAAUUAAGUGUUAAAAAGAUUAGAAGUACUUUUUAGAAUUAUUAUCAAAAUGGUGUGUUUGACAUUGUUUCUUUUGAAGUAUUUUUAGUUGAAAUAUUUUUUUUAAAAGUGUUUUUAAAAUAAUCACUUGUCAAGUAUUUCUCUUAAAAACACUUACUAAAAGUGAUUUUUUAAAAUUUUAAAAGUGUUUUUUAAAAUAUGUUUUAUGGUGAUUUUAAGAAAUAUUUCUAUCAUUUCUAAUACUUGAAAAUUUUUAUUUUUCAAGUGUUAGAAAAAUAAAAAAAAAAAAUUCUAAAAUCACCGUAAAACAUACUUUUAGUUUAUGAACAUAAAUUUGAAGAAAAAGUUUUCUACUAGAAAAAUUAAUAAUGACUUUCAAAACCAUCUUCCUAACUGUUUCUUAGGGCUAAAAGGACUUUACAUUAAUAUACAAACAUUAAAGGUUUGUUUGGUAAUACUUUGAAAAUAGUUUUUAAAAAAUAAUUUUUGAAAUAAUAGUUUUUAAAAAUAGUUUUCAAAUGAUUUUAUGGCUAAAAUUUCAUUUGAGAACUUAAAUAUGAUAAAAUAAAAUAAAAAAAUCUCAACUAAUUAUUAUCUCAUACAGGUGAUAUUGUACACUUAUAAAUACAAAAGUUCUCAAAAUUUCUCUCAUACUUUCAAUUGUAGUCUAAAAUACUUUACAGUAAAAUUAACAAUAAAAACACAUCAAAUUUAUUUUAAAAUAAAAUUAUUCAAAAAAUAAACUACUUUUAAAUAAAUUUUCAAAAUCUCUUUUGUGUUAGAAGUUUAUCAAACUUGUUUUUCUAACUAGAAAACUGUUUUUUUUUUUCUAAACAAUAAAAUCUGUCUUUAGUAAAAAUUCCAAACACUUUCGACUUUGUGGUAUCCUAUAAAAAAAAAUGGUUAAAGCAAAAGGCCAAGAAAUUUUAGGAAAACUGUACAAUGUUUCAACCUAAUAAACAUUCAUCCAAGCACAAGUUUCAAUGAGUUUUACUAUAUUUGAAUUUAUUUAUUAUGGUUAUUUAAAGUAAAGGGAGUUGUUGGUCCAAUAACUACAAAAAUAAAAUAAAAUAAUUAAAAUAAAACAAAAGAAUAACCAAUACUGAAUAUUUAGUAGUUUGUUUAGGUGAAGGUUACAUUGGAGGAGCAAAUAGUUAAUAUUUUCACCAAAGGAGUCAAUAGCUAAUAUUUUUACUAAAGUUGUAAUAUCAAAUAUCGGAUAUGAGAGAAACUAUAUAAGUACGAACUCUUCUUAUGUAUGUAGACGCAUUUUAAAGUCACGAGGGUCCCUUAAAUCUAAAACAUGCAAUAUCUAUCCGAUUGGGUGUGAGUCAUAAAUGAUAUAAAAACCAAUCCUCGAACUCAAUGUGGGAUUUGUUUGGCUUCGUAAAGGGUAUUUGUUUGUUUAGUCUCAUAAUCUCAUGGAACACAACGAUAAUAUUGUGUCUGCAUGGAGGAUGUUUAUGAUAUUUUAUAUUGAAUAGAGGAUAAAGUGUUGAGAUAUUAGGAAUCCUUUCCUUAUAUCAUUCUUUCCUUGUAUCAUUUAAUAUUGAAAUAUUAGGAUAUUAGUUGUUAUUUCUUUAUAUCAUUUUUUCCUUGUAUCAUUCUUUCCCAUUCUUAGAAUGGUGAUUACCCUCUAUAUAUAUUCUAUUCAUGAACGAAUGAAAGAAUGAAUGAAAAAACUACCAUUUAUCAAUUUGAAGAUGGUAUUAGAGCCAUGGAAUUGAAAUCCUGGAUAUUUUGUCGCUAUGGUAGUCCGACAGCGAUCAACCAUCCUAAGACAAGCCCUAAUAUCGAUAAGUCAACCUUCAAAUGCACUCAAUGCAAUAAGAUUGAUCCCACCAGUCUAGAUAUCCCACAAUUUCAAAGCAACGACUCUUAGUAUGACCAGGAAAACAAUGAGGAACCGAGGGUUUGAACAUGAACCUUUAGAUCAUGUUUAGGCUAUCACCACUUUGUUAUUAAUGAUAAUAAUUGUGAUCAACGGAAGAAGGAUUCCAAGAAAACCUCGACUGCAACUGUUGCCGAAAUAAAAACAAAGGCUAAUGUUGUUGAGAAAGCCUCUGCAUUGGUAGCUGCUACAGAUCAUGGUGGUAAGUUUUUAAAUACUUUUACACCUGUUAUUAAUAGUGCAUGGAUAAUUGAUUCUGGUGCUACAGAUCAUAUGACUUUUGAUUCUAGACAGGUUUCACCCCUUAGACCUUCCUCACAAAAAAUUGUUUCCACAACCAAUGGUAACACAACCCCAGUCAUUGGGAAAGGAUCCUUAACUCUUACUGAUACUUUGAAUUUGGAUUCUGUUUUAGUUGUUCCAUCUCUAGAUUAUAAUCUUUUGUCAAUUUCUCAAAUCACUGCAGCCUUAUCUUGUAUUGUCAUUUUUUUGCCUGAAUUUUGUGUGAUUAAGGACAUUCAAACAAGACAGACGAUUGGUUGUGGUAUUAAGCGGGGAAAAAUCUAUUACUUGGACUUGUAGUCAAAGGAUUCAGAUAAGUUGCAACAAGCCUUGAUGGCAGAUGGAUUUGAGGAGGAGAAGAAAAAGUUUGAAAUUUGGUUGUGGCAUCGACGUCUGGGACAUGCUUCCUUUGGUUAUUUAAAAAAAAAUUUUCCUAGUUUGUUUACAAAGAGUGAUAUUUCUGGUUUCCGUUGUGAUAUUUGUGAAUUGGCUAAAAGCCAUCGUGCUUCGUUUCCGUUAAUUUUGAAUAAAAGUCCACUUCCUUUUAUGGUUAUACAUUAUGAUGUUUGGGGCCCAUCCAAAGUCCCAACUUUGAGUGGCUCACGUUGGUUUGUUACUUUUAUUGAUGAUUGUACCAGAAUGACAUGGUUAUGCUUGAUGAAGACCAAAGAUGAAGUGAACUUGUUGUUUCAAAAUUUUCAUAAAAUGAUUGAAACUCAGUACAAUGCAAAGGUUCAGGUUUUGUGUAAUGAUAAUGGUGGAGAAUAUCAAAGUUCUGAUCUUCAAAAGUAUUUGGAAGAACAUGACAUCAUUCAUCAAACAACUUGUUCCAAUACACCCUAGCAAAAUGGAGUCGCUGAACGGAAAAAUCUGCACUUAUUAAAGGUUGUUCGUGCGUCCUUGAUAGCAGCAAAAAUACCGAUAUCUUAUUGAGGAGAAGCAAUCACAUCUGCCGCAUACUUGAUCAAUCGGGUACCUUUUAGCUCAAUUAACUUCCAAACACCUCUCCAAGCUCUUACUAAUGUCGUAGUUGCCCCAACAGUCCCAAAUCUACCUCCUCGUGUUUUUGGUUGCGUGGCAUUUGUGCAUCUACACAAACACCAAUGCACCAAGUUAACUUCUCAUACAUUGCAAUGUGUGUUUGUUGGAUAUGCAUUACACAAAAAGGGAUAUCGAUGUUACCAUCAUCCAACUCGACGAAUGUUUAUUACAAUGGAUAUGGUGUUUCAUGAAGAUUCAAUGUAUUUUUCAUCUGAAUCUGAACUUCAAGGGGAGUACCAUAAGGAAAUUCAGACUCUCGAUUAUGAUUAUCAUAUCUCUGAGGAAAAUGAAUAUGGACAAUCUGAACUAGUGAACCAGGAAGUGAGUGAGUUAAUGAUUAUCAUAUAUCUGAAGAUGAUGAAUCUGGACAAUCUGAACUAGUGAACUAGGAAGCGGGUGAGUUGGAUAUGAGUGGUCAACAAUUUGGGUCCGAAGAUGUCUUCACUGAAAUACCAAACCAAUCGUCAUCUGUUGAGGGUGUUCUUAAUUUGGAACCUAAUCCAUGCAUGAAACGGUUACCACACCGUCAUAAUAGAGGUAUUCCUAAACCCACAUAUGAACCUGAAUUGUCUACCAAAGCCAAAUAUCCCAUAAGCAACUAUGUGUCUAACCAUCGUUUGUCUGAAUCAAAUAAGUUAUUUGUAAAUCAAUUAUCUACUGUAGUUAUUCCUAACAGUGUGCAGGAAGCCUUAGCUGAUCCAAAGUGGAAAGCAGCUAUGAAUGAAGAGAUGAAAUCAUUACAGAAGAAUGAAACAUGGGAACUCGUAGAAUGUUCACUAGGAAAGAAACCAAUUAGGUGUCGUUGGAUCUAUACUGUGAUGUACAAGGCAGAUAAUAGUAUUGAACGAUUUAAAGCAAGUCUGGUAGCAAAAUGGUACACUCAAACUUAUGGAAUUGACUACACAGAGACAUUUGCACCUAUAGCUAAGAUCAACACAGUUCGAGUAUUACUGUCUUUAGCUGCAAACCUGGAUUGGUCAUUACAACAGUUCAAUGUGAAAAAUGUCUUUCUACAUGGCGAGUUAUCUGAAGAAGUAUAUAUGAAUCUUCCACCAGGAUGCAUGGUGUCAGAAAAACAAUGUCAGAAGGUGUGCAAAUUGAAAAAGUCGUUGUAUGGGUUGAAGCAAUCCCCAAGAGCAUGGUUUGGAAGGUUCACAAAAUCAAUGAGAGCUUUUGGCUAUCUGAUUCGACUCAUGGUAGCUUAGCUUUAAAGGCGUAUCAACAAAAUUUAUACCUUGAAUACUAUUACUAAAGUAGCCAAGCUACUAUAGCAUAGUGGUUCUAGGAUCGUUCACUGGGAAAGGUUUUCGCAAACACAAGUGAUAUUCAAAUUAGGAAAAUAGGUGAUUUUCUUAUGGAUGUUAGCUUUAAAAGAAGAUGUAAAUGUUUUAGAAAGAUUUAAACUAAUCUAAGCUAACAUUAAAGACUAAAAUGAAAGGGUGUAAAAACAAGUUUCUCAAAGAUAGGAUAGCUAUGCUCUGGCUCUUAUGCAAAUUGGAAAUCUCAUGAUAGGCUCCUCGCGUUGGGGUUGCAACUAUGGUGAUGUUUGCUUCCCGAACCGGUAUGGAUUUAGCAAAUCAAGUUUUAAUCCUUUAAAAUGGCAAAAUAGAUGGUAGUGAAUUUCAUCAAUGGUUAUUCACCUUAGACUUCCUUUGAAUGGCUCGUAAAAGAUAACUAAUGGUCUAAGGCCAAAAGCUUACCAAAUAUUGGCAACUCAAAGUCAUUCCAGGUGAUAAACUCACCUUUCAAUGGCCAUUGAAAUUGGUUCUAACGGAUUAAUGCAAAACUUGGAAUUGAAAACCUCACCUUCCAAUAGCUCGUAGGAGAUAACUAAUGGAUAGAAAUCCAAAAGCUUAUCAAGUAUUGGCCGUUGGAAGUUGUCCAAAGGAAAUAAAAACCAAACUUUGCAUUAAUGAACCUUUAAUGAAAAACGAUUACCUUACCUUCUAGGUGCGAGAAAUUUCCAUGGGAGUGCAUCCAAGCCAUCACAUAACAUCCAUACUUUGAGAAACUAAAAGUUUUAGCCAAUCAUCCUCUGAGGAAAAGCCCUCAGAGGCUGUUUGGCUACUAAGAAAAUAAAAUAGUAAAGAGAAAAGAGAAACGACAAAGCUCUGUAUAUCACUUAGUGUAAAACGUAACACGCAUGUUCUAUAUCUUCCAAGAGGUGAUUUCCACCCCUUAUAUAGUCUUUACAAAAGCAAAAGCUUGUGAUUGGUUAGUUACAAGGAUAAGAAAGGAAAUUACAUCAAAAAAUACAUAGGAAAAUAUCUAAAGUGGAGUCGGUAAAAACAGAGGAAAAUUCGCACCACGCAUGGGCUGUGUGAAUUUGGAAGGUGUUGUGCGAAAUUUUCGCACAAGCCUGGAGCAGUUGUCUUCCGAAGGCCAUAUCUUCCUCAUUUCAGCUCCAAAUCGUACAUGGUUUGAAGCGUUGGAUUCUUUACUUCCUGAGCUUUGAAAUGGUAUAUAGAAUGUAGAAAAUGGACUUCGGAAAGUGCUCCAAAAGUGCUCCAAAAGUGCGAAAGAAAACUGCAGCUGCUGUCCUCUGUUUUCUUCACUCUGUUUUCCUCUUCUCCAUUGUUCUUUCCUUGCAUACUUUGAACGACUUUGGCAAAGGGCUAUGGAGAUCCAAAGCUUGGUUCUUCAUGAAUUUGAGCUUCCAAAAGCUUUUCCAUAACUUGUCCAAGUAGCUCCUCCAUCAUUUGGCAUGCUUGAAUCGAUUCAUAAGCUGAUAAAAACAUGUAAACUUGCCACAAAAUGGUUAAAACCAAUUACUAAGGACCUUAAUGAAUUAAUUGGGUUAAAUGAAUAUGAUUACUACUCAAAGGUGCUUAAAACCAUUAUAAUUAGGUCUACAAAAUAACACUUUUUGGUAGUAAUCACAUUUUGGUAGUAAUCACUAUCGUCAAAGUAAUUCAAAUCACACUUUGUUCCUGAAAAAGCAACAUGGUAAGAUUACGACACUUAUCGUAUAUGUGGAUGACAUGGUAGUUACAGGAAAUGAUCCUGAAGAAAGAAAAACUUUGCAAAAUUAUCUAUUUAGAGAAUUCUAAAUGAAAGAUCUAGGUUCUCUGAAAUACUUUCUUGGGAUUGAAGUUUCUCGAUCAAGUGAAGGAAUUUUUCUGUCUCAAAGAAAGUAUGCCUUAGAUCUUUUACAAGAGACUGGAAUGUCAGGAUGUCAACCUGUUAAUACACCAAUAGAAGAAGGUCUGAAAUUGUGUGUUAAGCCUAAUCAAGUAUCAACCGAUAAGGGAAGAUACCAGAGACUUGUGGGGAGAUUAAUGUACUUAGCUCAUACAAGACCAGAUCUUGCUUAUGCAUUGAGUGUAGUGAGUCAAUACAUGCAUAAUCCUGGAGAGCAACAUAUGAAUGCAGUCAUGCGUAUUUUGAGGUAUUUGAAGAAUGCUCCUGGGAAGGGAAUUUUGUUCGCUAAAAAUGUUGAUCAUCAGAGUAUAGAAGUAUAUACUGAUGCCGAUUGGGCCGGUGCAGUGGAUGAUAGGCGAUCUACAUCUGGUUACUUUACCUUUGUAGGUGGUAAUCUUAUUACAUGGAAAAGUAAGAAGCAGAAUGUCGUCGCUCGUUCAAGUGCAGAAGUAGAAUUUAGAGGUAUGACUCUAGGACUUUGUGAGGCAUUAUGGCUAAUACUCCUCUUACAAGAUUUAGGUUACCUAUCUAGGCAACCAAUCCGAUUGAUUUGUGACAAUAAAGCCGCAUAUGACAUUGCUCAUAAUCCAAUACAACAUGACUGUACAAAGCAUGUCGAGGUGGAUAGAUUCUUCAUUAAGGAAAAGUUGGAUGAUAAGAUUGUGGAAUUGCCUAAGAUUCGAUCAGAAGAUCAAUUGGCCGAUAUCCUCACCAAAGUUGUCUCAAGUCAAGUGUUCUCAAAAUUUUUAGACAAGUUGGGCAUGUGUGACAUCUAUGCACCAACUUGAGAGGGAGUGUUGAGAUAUUAGGAAACCUUUCCUUAUAUCAUUCUUUCCUUGUAUCAUUUAGUAUUGAGAUAUUAGGAAUAUUGAGAUAUUAUGAAAGUUGAGAUAUUAGGAUAUUAGUUGUUAUUUCCUUAUAUCAUUCUUUCCCAUUCUUAGAAUUGUGAUUACCCUCUAUAUAUACUCUGUACAUGAACGAAUGAAAGAAUGAAUGAAAAAACUAUCAUUUAUCAAUUUGAAGAGAAAGUUGUUAAUAUUAUAUAAAUAUGAGUUCUUUUUAACUUUGUAAAUGCAUUUUAAAACCGUGAGGGUCCCUUAAGCCCAAAAUGAAGAAUAUCUAUAGGAUUUGGUGCAAAUGGUUACAAAAACUUUAUCUUCAGAGAAAUUUAUUAAUUUUUAGGCUUUUAGAAGUAGAAGAUGUCACAUUAGAGGGGAGAUUGUUACAUAAUGUAUUAAUGUUGUAUUGUUAUGCAAUAGUCUAGCCCACUCCUUACUUUUGAGGAAGCAAUUUUUGAAUGCCAAUGUAAUUGUGCCAAAGGAAGCUUAAGUGCCCUUGUACCAUGUUUGAGCCUCACUUAUGUAAAAAUUUAUUUUUUUAUCUUUAAAAUCUGUUUGGAAAUUAUCCAUCCAUAUGGAGAGAUUUACUUGAUUCAACCCCGGUCCUCACCUAAUAUCACUGAGUAUGAAUAAUAUAAAUUUUUUUUUCUCUUUUUUUUUCUCUACAUGAAUGAACUUAUCACCCAAAUAUUCUCAAACAAUAAGAUAAUGUGGACCCCGCAUUUUGGGGAAAAACAAAAUAAAAAAGAAAAACCCUAAGUGUGACUUCUGAAGGAAAAAAUAGGUCUGUGAAAAAUCGAAUCUAGGUCUGGGGUCAGGUUACUUAUUGGAAAGAUACAGUGGUGAGCCGUAGCACCCUUUUAAACUCGUAUAUGUACGACCUCUACUAAACAAAUUAAGAGAAUUAUGACAAUUAAUUAAUUAACUAUGGAUACGAAGAAAAAUAAUCAAUAUACAAAUCAUGGUGAAAAUCAAUACAUAUAAAAAAUAAUGAUGAAAUCUAAUUACAAAAAUACACAAAAUAAAUUACAAGAGAAUUAUGUAAAAUGAUUUAUUGAACGAAAAAAAAUAUUUAAAAAAAAUCAGUUUUCAAGAAAUUUCAAAGAAUUUUGUUAAAAAUAAUUUUUUUUCAAUUUAUUUAUUUACAAAAAAAAAAUCAAUUUAUUUUCUCAAUUUCAUUUGUAUUCAAUUUAAAAAAAAAAAUUAUUUACACUUAUUGUAUUAAAAGAAUUUAUUACAAAAUUUCAAUUUGGGUACAAAAAUUAUUUUUACUUGCUUUUACUAGAAAAUAAUGAAUUUUGACCAUUUAUUUACAAAAGUAUUUUAAUUCAUUUUCAUUUAAAAAAAGUGAUUUUUACAAAUUAUUUAAAACAACAUAACUUUAUUUGCAAAAGAAAAACAAAAAUUUAAAUCCUCUAUUUCUAAAAAAAAACACUUUUAAUCCCAUUUUAAUUGAGAAAAAAGAAUUUAUUUAAAUUUUUUUUUUAAGAAUUUUAUUAAAAAUUAAUCUUUGAGACAAUUUUAUUUACAAAUUUUUUUUAUUAAACAAAGAAAUUUUUGGACAAUUUUAUUAAAAACAAUUUAUCAAAUUCUAUUAAAAAAAAUUCUUUUGGAUUUUUCUAAAUGCAUUUUUCUGAACUUUUAUAAAUAAAAAAGAAAACUUUCUUCUAUUAAAAAAAUAUUUUAAAAUUAGUAUUUUAUUAGAACAUAUUUAUUGAAUCAUUCCUCUCAUUUAAAUAAAAUUUUUAAUUUGUUCGAUGUUUAAUUCUGUACACAUUUAAUAAAUAUAUAUAAAUAAAUAUUUAUAAAAUUAAUAAAAAUAAAAUCAAAUAAAAGUGGAAAAAAAAAUGGCGGUCUUUUCGAGGUCGUCCAGCUGCCAACCUUCAGAGAAAGAAAAAUAGAGGGGCCCCUAAGAUGGGAAGAGUGGAAACUCCGUGGGAAGAAGAGAAAUCCUAUGAAAAAAAAUGAAAAUUAUGGCAGAAAGGUGAGGGAGUCAUGUCCGCAUGACUUGGGAGGGAUGGGGGUAGGUGAGAGUAGGUAGGGGAGAGAGAGGAGAGAGGAGAGAGGAGAGAGAAAUGAAGGAAAUAAAAAGAAAAAAAAAUAAAAAUAAAAUAAUAAUAAUAAUAAUAAUAAAACUAAUAAUUAGAUAAUAAGUGGGUUAAAAAUAACUCUAAUGUAAUUGAGAUUUAAAAAUUAAGUAUAAAGUUGAACUCAAAAUUAAUGUAAAAAUAAAAGUGAAAUAAAUUUUGGGGUCUACGUAUACUCAUACAAAGCUUAGUGUACAAGAAGAGGAAAACAAUAACAAAGAAAUUUAUCUCUCUCAUAAAAAUCUUCCCAAUAAGUAAAAAAAAUAAAUCAAUAUCUCCACUUUUGAAAAUAAUUACAAAAUAUCUCACACAUGUGACCAUCAAAAUCAAUAAUUUGUAUAAUCAGUAAUUUUUUUCCUCCUUUUUGUCAAGAAAAAAGAAAAAAAAAAAAGAAUCAGCAUAAUUACACAUUGGUGAAUCAAAUCAUAUAUUAUGAGAUGCCAUGAAACAUAGGUAAGUAACAAAAGCAAUAGGCAUUAAAAAUGGACACUUGAUUUUUGAAAAAAAACCACUUCCUAAAAGCAAUUUUAAUCCUAAAAAUUCAUCUAAAAUGAAUUAAAUAUAUUUAAAAGAGUACAAAAAUAUGAUUAUAUGUGCAUAUGAUUAGUUUUUUAUUUAAAAAUAUCUAUAAUUUUACAUCCAUGAUUAAAUCUCUUAUAUGUAUAUAAAGGUUGUUUAAUUCCAUAAACUUGAUUAUGAACUACUCAUCAUCUUACAAGGAACUCAGGACGUAAAUCUUCUAUACGACAUUUAAUACACCAAAAUUAUAUACAAUACAAAUGAUGUAUAAGUGAACAAUUAAGGAUACAAUAAAAAUAACAAAUCAUGACAAAUAAAUUUAUUAAUGAAAUUUUAUUUUACUAUAUCAUAUCAUAUUUUUAAGUGUUCUAUCCUAAUAGAUUCCAACCCUUAGCAAUGGAGAACUCGAUUCAAUUGAAUCUAAGAAAUAAUUCUAAAAGUGAUCUAAUAAGACCCCAAUAAUGUAGUUAAUUAUUCUUUUAAAACUAUGCUAAAUGGCAUAAUUAAUUUUAUUUAUUUCAAAACAAGAUUAUUAAUUUAAUAUGUGAUCCACAAAGACAACCCAACCAAGAGCUUAAGUAGCUAUAGACGCCAUAUAUGAUUGAUUUAAUGGUUAUAUAUAUAGCCCCUUUUACUUUGGCCUUUUGCAUCAUCUUAAAGUAAAUUUUGGUGAUAUUAUUUUAGAUUCGGUUUGGCAAUUAUUGUAAAAAGCAUUUUUAACUUAAAAAGAAUUUCUGAAAAAAAAAAGAAAUUAGGUGUUUAGUAAAAUUAACUAGAAAAUACUUUUAAAAUUUUGAAAAAUCACAUGUUAGAAAACAACUUGUGUUAUGUUUUGGAAAAAACUUAAAGUGUGUUUAAUAGUAAUUUUAAAAAGUAUUUUUAGUACUUAUAACACUUGAAAGAUAAAAAUUUUAAAGUGUUAAAAAUGUUAGAAGUGUUCCAAUAAUUAUUGUCAAAUGAACUCUUAGAUAAAUGAUUAUCCUACAAACAAUUUCUACAAAAAUGCUUCCAUUAAAAAUUUUUGAAAGAAAAACACUUCCAAAUGCAUUCUUAUCGACAUAGGAGAACCCAUAACCCAACUCCAAAGCUUUUAUUUCAUCACCAUAUAAUAAGCUUUGGUAGACAGACAUGCACACUAGUUAUACAUAAAGCUUCAGGUAUUCAUCCAUUCGCUUGUAAUUGACCUCCGGAUAGAGCGUUGCAGCUUCUUCUCCCUCUUCUCCAAUCUCAAAGUUCGUCAAACAACCCUCGUAGUAAAUGUGAUAGAAAUGUGCUACCCCAACUUGUAAUGCAAAGUCCUUACCUACACCAUAUAAAGAAUAUGAAUAAAUGAAUGUAAAGUAAAGUUGGAAGACAAUAUUUCUCAUUUCUUACCUUCCAUAGAGGCUAGAAAGUCUUCUUUAGAGAUGCUGAACUUGUCCAGUUUCUUCCCCGUGAGCUUUUCCCAUAUCUCAACUAAUUGCCUCUGGGAGAGAGUGUUUUCUGGUGGCCUAAUGUAAACUGUCUUGUUCAAAGUACGAGGAUCAUCUAUUGUUUUGAUUGUGUAUGUUGCAAUAUCAUAUUCAUCCACGAAAACCGCUGCGUAAUACCCCGUAAAACAUGCACACAUAUACUCCAUCAUAAUGCAAAGAGUUAAUUUGUAUCACAAAAUUUUAUAAUUAAUUGUAAGUACCUUUGACAUUGCCAUCUCCAUAUAGACAAACCUUUUCCUUUGGAGGGGUGAGAACACCCAACUGACCUAGGCUCGGAACAAAGUAGCCUGCGAAGCAGUUGGAAGACACGUAAGUGUGGGGGAUGUUGGCUUCUUCUAUGGCCCUCCUCACAAUCAUCUUCUCAUCAAAUGUUACUCUUCCUGGUUCAAGUGCAUCUCCCAUCCUUGCUGGGUCCAUUCCAAACUCUGAAGGCAAGAAUCGCUGCCAAAAUUUUGUACACAAUUAUUAUCAAUCUUAGAUUUUGAUGUUGAUAGAAUAAAUACAGGCAGGCCCAUCAAAAGGGUGAGGAAAUUACUAGGAGUGGUUGCCUUCAGAAAAAAUUAAUUUACAAAAAAUUAAGCCCUAAAAAACAUUAAAAGUACCCCAAAAAAACUAAUUCAUUUAUGAGGGAUAUGAUCUUCGGGAAGCCAUGAAAGAAAAGAAAAAUACAGAUUCAAAUUCGUAUAUGAUUUUCAAAGGAAUAUUUUUUAUACUUUUGCAGUGCUUCCAUUAACCUGAAUUUAAUUGAAAUCAAAUAAACUAUUUCAUCUUAUCCAUUACUAUGCUUUCUAAUCUGAUCAAAAAGGAUUAUUAUACCUUUGUACUACAGAUAUGGUUGAUGCGCUCAUCAAAAUACUAUAUGCAAAAAGGAACUACAUGACUUAAAACAAUAUGUAUAUAUAUACCUUAAUGUUUCCAGCUUCUUUGAUGGCCUCAACAAGUUUGAGCUGAAACAAAAUGUUGUGAGACCUGGAAUGAGACCCAGACAUGGUGCAGAUCACCAUAUUUACUUUCUUCACUGCUUCCACCAGACUCUUAUGAUCUGCAAAGGAGCCCUCCACAAGGGUGGCCCCUUUGGCCUUGAAGGACAGCAGCAUCUGCAGUUUCUCGAUGUCCAGACCGAUUUCGGGGCGUUGAAGGACAAAGGUGGGAUGGCCUUGGGCUAAGCUUGCCUUCACCAUCCUCCUUCCAAUGUAGCCUGUCCCACCCACUACAAGAACCUUGCUCUUUUCCAUCUUCUCUUCUCUACUCUUAUUCUGCCUUCCACUCUCACAAUUCACAACCAAGGGUUUG
rnacentral:lncRNA from 1 species